GCCAGCAUGGUGUAGUGGUUUGAAGGUUGGACCACAGCUCUGGAGACCAGGGUUUGAAUCCCUGUUCAGCCA